rnacentral:rRNA from 1 species
CCUACGGGGGGCAGCAGUGGGGAAUAUUGGGCAAUGGACGCAAGUCUGACCCAGCAACGCCGCGUGAAGGAAGAAGGCUUUCGGGUUGUAAACUUCUUUUAAGGGGGAAGAGCAGAAGACGGUACCCCUUGAAUAAGCCACGGCUAACUACGUGCCAGCAGCCGCGGUAAUACGUAGGUGGCAAGCGUUGUCCGGAUUUACUGGGUGUAAAGGGCGUGCAGCCGGAGAGACAAGUCAGAUGUGAAAUCCACGGGCUCAACCCGUGAACUGCAUUUGAAACUGUUUCCCUUGAGUGUCGGAGAGGUAAUCGGAAUUCCUUGUGUAGCGGUGAAAUGCGUAGAUAUAAGGAAGAACACCAGUGGCGAAGGCGGAUUACUGGACGAUAACUGACGGUGAGGCGCGAAAGCGUGGGGAGCAAACAGGAUUAGAUACCCGAGU